rnacentral:misc_RNA from 1 species
AGUGUCCCCAGGACGAAUGAUAUAAGCGUUGUACACAAAGCGUACACAUAUGCUCUCCAUGGAUACUUGCUUCCUCUCAUUGCAUGGAAUUCAGCAAUGAAAGUGGAAACUGUACUUAAACAACCCAAUAGACCAAACUGGAUACCAGAAGCAACAGUAUCACAUGUCUCUGUGUUGACUGCUUUCUUCAAGGUCGCAAGUGCUGCCAUGACACAAGCUGCAGAUACAUUGGCAAUCAAAGUACCGAAGGGCACCCAUUUGAGCUGGCCUGAUUUUCCUAAGCCACGUCCAUUUAGUCGUGCUAAGAACCAUCUGAUCCACACACCAAAUGGACCAACUAUGCAGGCCAGCCACAACUGUGCUUUUGGGCUGCUGCUGCUGAAUUCAUGUACCUCCAGUCCUAUGCUCAUACCCCAUAGCGAUGCUAGAAUGAGUAGGAGAAAGAGUAUAACAAUUAAAUGGCGCUUACAGCUAUCUACUCUCCAAUGGUAGUCUGUGCCUGAGUUGGAUGAAUUCAUAUUGGCUCUUCUGUAGAGCCAAUUGACACCUUUCGCAGUCUCAAUUCCAAAUAUGAUUGAGUAGGCAACAAGAAAUAAACCUAGAAGAUAGCCAAGAACUACAAAAACCCACUGCCCUUCAACACUAAGCUCGAGCAUCUUUUGGUUCCAACCACUGAAAGUAGUAAGGCUUCCUAGAAAACCAGUUGACAAUCCAAUUGCUAAUUGACUUGAAAUUCUGGAAAUGUCCUCUUUAAAGACCAUACCAAACCAACCCAUCAAGAACGAACCGACCAUGUUAGAAGGCAGGUCCAGAUACAUAUAACUAUGAUCACUUGUGGCACCAACUAUUCCUGGUCCGAAUAAUUUUUGGAGACCAUACCUCAGCAAAACCCCCAAUAUACCAAAUACAGCUAGAAACAAGAGGCAUGAAGUAUACUCCAAAACCCAUGGCACCUCUGUUUUUUCAUCAUUCUCUUUAUGAUCGGGUUGAGAGAUCAAUUUUAUCGGGGAUACUGGAGUAACACUACUCAUAGCAUUGGACCCCAACAUCGUGUCCUCUGAAAUGGGAACAACCACUCUAUGUUCUGGUGCAUUUUCACCGAUUAAUCUUAGCCUGCCACUCCCACUGUACCUAUUGCUUUGAAGCUCACGAUCCCCGAUAUCUCCUGCUUCUGAUACAGAUUCAUUUUCAUCAUCAUCGUCAUUCAGAUGUUUAGGAAGAGAAAGUGAUAAACUCAACGAACGCCUCCUGAGAGAAGAACUGGCACUGCUUGUGCGAGAUGAUCCGAAUUUUCUAAGCUCAGAAUCCUUAUUCUCACAAUCCAUGAUCCUUCACCAGAACUUCAUUCCUUGAAUCGAA